rnacentral:rRNA from 1 species
CGAAUAAGAGGUUGCUAACUCUGUGCCAGCAGCAGCGGUAAUACAGAGACCUCGAGCGUUAUCCGGAUUUAUUGGGCGUAAAGCGUCCGCAGGUGGUUUGUACAGUCAUUGGUAAAAUCUCGGAGCUCAACUCCGAAUCUGCUGAUGAUACUAACAGACUAGAGGAUGGGAGAGGUGAGCGGAAUUGCCGGUGUAGUAGUAAAAUGCGUUUAUAUCGGCAAGAACACCAGAGGCGAAGGCGGCUCACUGGAACAUUCCUGACACUAAGGGACGAAAGCGUGGGGAGCGAUACGGAUUAGAUACCCGUGUAGUCCACGCCCUAAACGAUGGAUACUAGACUUUGGCAGUAUCGACCCUGUCAGAGUCGGUCAAAAAAGCUAACGCAUUAAGUAUCCCGCCUGGGAAGUACGGCCGCAAGGCUAAAACUCAAAGGAAUAGACGGGGACCCGCACAAGCGGUGGAGCAUGUGGUUCAAUUCGACGGUAAACGAAAAACCUUACCAGGGCUUGAAAUGUAGCUGCUAAUCUCCAGAAACGGAGACUCCUUCGAGGGUGCUACACAGGUGCUGCAUGGUUGCCGUCAGCUCGUGCCGUGAGGUGUACCAUUAAGUUGGGUAACGAGCGCAACCCCCGUGUUAUGUUAUUUUUUACAUAACAGACCGCCCCUGCCUGUAGGCAUUUAAAAAAGUGCCUAGAGGCAGGGGAGGAAGGAGGGGAUGACGUCAAAUCAGCAUGGCUCUUACGUCCUGGGCCACACACGUGCUACAAUGGGGAAUAACAAUGGGUUGCCAAGUCGCGAGACGGAGCUAAUCCCAUCAAACUUCCCCCCAGUUCAGAUCGCAGUCUGCAACUCGACUGCGUGAAGUAGGAAUCGCUAGUAAACGCCGAUCAGCUAUGCGGCGUUGAAUACGUUCUCGGGUCUUGUACUCACCGCCCGUCAAGCCAAGGGAGUUGGGGACGCCUGAAGGCUGGGUUUAUCCCGGUCCAAGGCGGAAUCAGCGACAGGGGCUAAGUCGUAACAAGGCAUGUGUAGCGGAAGCUGCGCAUGGAUCACCUCCUU